CCAUGGCCUGGUGGCGCUGGGCUUGGCUGAGGCGGCCUCCAGGCCCCGACACGCCGAGCACCAGCGGCUCCAGGAGCGGCCAGUGAAGGCCCCACUUGACCAACAAACACUUCUGUGGGUCGCCAUGAGGUGACUUCACCUCAGUGUGUGCCUUAGGGGGCUUUGGGAUGGCCGCAGCCCGCCGGUGCAGCAGGGCUGGGGCGAGGACUGCUCCCCGCUGCUGCCCCAGGCCCUGGCUGCGCAGGGAGCCCUCACGGUGGGACAGGUUCUGCAUCAACCAUUGAACAACGCAUUGGUAACAGCACGUAUACGACCACCAGCAUGGGCACAAUAACAUCAGUGUCACUCCCGUAACGCUGUACAUUUUGUUAUCCAUUUGCACAAUGUAUUAUGCCUGACUGAUCCAUUUCCCCUGCUAUUGAGUGGUAGAUUGUGGAUUAGUACCUCGAGCCAACACCAGUCUGCAUGGGAAUGUAAUAGGAUCUUGCAUCAUUUUUAAUGACUCUGAUUAAACAGCUGGCUUCAGAAGAGUGUGCGCUGCGUGGCCCUUCUCGGGGGAGAAGUCUCGGGGGUGCUGGUGGCACCGCAAAGCAGCUCUCGUCCGUCUGUCCUCCUGUGCCGGCACGCUGGGUGCUCUCCCCUGCGCCUCAGGGAAAAUGCAGGGCUUUCCAAAGCGUGCACAGCCAUCAUUUGCCUUAAGUGGAAGCCGUCCUUGCAGGCUGCCUGCUGGGAGCCAGCCGCUGACCGCCUCUGCUCCUGGCGACCCAAAGAGACCCGUGGCAGCUGCCACUGUCACACCGGCCACGUACUGACGGUGCAAAUACCCAACGCAGCUGAAAUGCUGACGUGUAAUUGUCUAAUUGUUUCUGUAUUUACAAGCCAUGGGAGAGAAUAAAGACGUUGCUUUCUUUCUGUGUGGGUGGUGGCAUUCGAUACAGCUGUGCUCACAGCAGCCACCUAAGUGAGGUAGGGUGAGUGACUGCGGGCUUUAAUUCUCCACCUGGAAACACCCCAAGAGAAAUGUGAAGUGUCCUCACCACACUUUAUUGUGCCACGAACUACCCGAGGCUUUUGGAGGGCUCGUAUUUGACAAGACGUUCACAGAGCGGCUGAAAGCCAUUUACCAAACCAAUAUUAACACGCACGUUAGAUUUCCAGGCUUACUUCUGGAGCCAGAGGCCUGCCGACCGCGCUCCCCUGCCUUUUCUGGAUCACUUCUCAUGCUCUUUGUGGCCACCCAGUGUCCCCCUGGAGAUCAAGAAGCACGGACGUGCUCCCCCUUCGAUGGCUUCCCAUCAAGGACAGUCAUGAAGCAUUCAGGCUUGACCUGGAUCUUGUGCUAGAACACGGGCCUGCCCACAGCUCCUGGACUGCAGUGUGAGGACAGAUGUUUGCGGCCAGUUUCUGAGCUGAACGCUUGCUUCCCAGGGAGGAGCCAUCACGAAGGUGUGUGGGCACUCCCGGGGAAAUGCCAGGAGGCAGAGCUGUCACAGCACGCGUUUCCUUGUGUGAAGGAAAAUAGGAUUUCCUUGCUUCUGAUCUGAGUGGUCUGCAGAAGGAAAUCUGACUGUCAGCAUUAGCAGGGACUUCUGCCCUGCUCCCCCCUUCCACUCCGUGGGACCACCGAGGGUGGCAGCUCCUCACGCCUGCCGCCAGCUAUGCACGAGCAAGGAUGCAUUAAGGGAGCUGUGAUUGAAAGAUGACACACAAAUUACGCGGUGUUGCUACUGAGAUGGCUCUGAUUACAGCUGCCUUGUACAUCUUCUGUAAAUUCCUGCGCUCGCUGUGUUAUUCCCCUGCAAGGGUUUGUAAGUAUUAAAUUAAUUUGGCGGUGUGGGGUUGUAAGGAAGAAGAUGUUCGCGCGCCACGAGAAGCUGCAAGCGCCACCUUAUCGGAGCUUCGUCUGCCCCUCGGAAGCCUUUUUCCUGCGCUGGAAAAUCCACAGCCUGUAAGAAGCUGAAGUAAAGGACCUCAUUCAGGGCAGAGCUGGGGGCUGUUGACUGAACCCAAGGGGAUGUGCUAGGGCAGAAGUGGGUCUGAUUUAGUUAAACUUCAUUUAUCCUUGUGUAGUUUCCCUGAAAUUUUAGGGUUUACCCAAAGCACUCUGCAAAUGCUGCAUAUUUUCACGUACAUGCACUCGUGCCUCGUUUGUUGGCUUCUUCUGUGGAGUUUCUUCCCUUUGAUAUCUAGGACAUGGGGCGGCGCCAGGGGGGGUUUGAUAUAAAAUGCACGUGACGCCGGUCACUCCGAUAUUAAUGAACAGUUUUCUGCCAUACACUGGGGUCGUCGUGGCUUUUUCAGGAGGCUGACAUCAAGUAACAGGUGAAGGUCAGAGCUGUGUAAUUGAAAACUGAAACGUGAGCACAGCAUCUGGUUUGCUCUCUGCUGCAGUGCGAGACUUCACCUUUAACUCGCUAAAUAGCUCUUAAGAGAGAUUAUCAUUAAAAUCUGGCAGCAACUCAACUGGAGUACAUCUGUGCGCUGUAAAAUAAAAUUGUAUUUAAUGGCAGAAGAGUUGGACCAGCUGAUGGCCCUGCACACGGGUUAAAACCGAAGGAAACCUGUAGAAGCGGUAUUAAAUAAAGGCGAUUUGGGGUACAAAGCCCAAAUGACAGAGGUGAGGGGGAAGGAGUGGGUGCUUUGCGUGGUUCCCACCCAUUUCCCAGCUCUGCCUCCACCCAAGGAG